rnacentral:rRNA from 1 species
AUUGAACGCUGGCGGAAUGCUUUACACAUGCAAGUCGAACGGUAGAGGGGGCAACCCCUCGAGAGUGGCGAACGGGUGAGUAAUAUAUCGGAACGUGCCCAGUCGUGGGGGAUAACGUAGCGAAAGUUACGCUAAUACCGCAUACGAACUAAGGAUGUAAGCGGGGGAUCGCAAGACCUCGCGCGAUUGGAGCGGCCGAUAUCAGAUUAGGUAGGUGGUGGGGGAAAGGCUCACCAAGCCAACGAUCUGUAGCUGGUCUGAGAGGACGACCAGCCACACGGGAACUGAGACACGGUCCAGACUCCUACGGGCGGCAGCAGUGGGGAAUUUUGGACAAUGGACGCAAGUCUGAUCCAGCCAUUCCGCGUGCAGGAUGAAGGCCCUCGGGUUGUAAACUGCUUUUGUACGGAACGAAAAGGUCUCUCUUAAUACGGGGGGCUCAUGACGGUACCGUAAGAAUAAGCACCGGCUAACUACGUGCCAGCCGCCGCAGUAA